rnacentral:rRNA from 1 species
GACGAACGCUGGCGGCGUGCCUAAUACAUGCAAGUCGAACGCAGUGGGGACGGGUGAGGAACACGUGGGUAACCUCCCAUCAGAGGGGAUAACACUUGGAAACAGGUGCUAAACCGAUACUGAUGGAUGGACCCGCGGGGCAUUAGCUAGUGGGUGGGGUAACGGAUCACCAAGGCCACGAUGCAUAGCCGACCUAGGAGGUUGAUCCGCCACACUGGGACUGAGACACGGCCCAGACUCCUACGGGAGGCAGCAUUAGGGAAUCUUCGGAAAUGGACGAAAGUCUGACCGAGCAACGCCGCGUGAGUGAAGAAGUUUUUCGGAUCGUAAAACUCUGUUGUUAGAGAAGCGGUAUCUACCCAGAAAGCCACGGCUAACUACGUGCCAGCCUCCGCGGUAAUUC